rnacentral:sRNA from 1 species
GUGGCGCGCGCCUGUAAUCCCAGCUACUCGGGAGGCUGAGGCUGGAGGAUCGCUUGAGCUCAGGAGUUCUGGGCUGCAGUGCGCUAUGCCGAUCGGGUGUCCGCACUAAGUUCGGCAUCAAUAUGGUGACCUCCCGGGAGCGGGGGACCACCAGGUUGCCUAAGGAGGGGUGAACCGGCCCAGGUCGGAAACGGAGCAGGUCAAAACUCCCGUGCU